rnacentral:rRNA from 1 species
AUUGAACGCUGGCGGCAGGCCUAACACAUGCAAGUCGAACGAGUGGCGGACGGGUGAGUAAUGUCUGGGAAACUGCCUGAUGGAGGGGGAUAACUACUGGAAACGGUAGCUAAUACCGCAUACCAUCAGAUGUGCCCAGAUGGGAUUAGCUGGUGGGUGGGGUAACGGCUCACCUAGGCGACGAUCCCUCGCUGGUCUGAGAGGAUGACCAGCAACACUGGAACUGAGACACGGUCCAGACUCCUACGGGAGGCAGCAGUGGGGAAUAUUGCACAAUGGGCGAAAGCCGGAUGCAGCCAUGCCGCGUGUAUGAAGAAGGCCUUCGGGUGGUAAAGUACUUUCAGCGGGGAGGCGUUACCCGCAGAAGAAGCACCGGCUAACUCCGUGCCAGCAGCCGCGGUAAUAC